rnacentral:tRNA from 1 species
GGCCUGUAGCUCAAUGGCAGAGUGCUUGCCUAGCAUGUGUGAGGCACUGGGUUCGAUCCUCAGCACCA